UACGUAGGGCGCAAGCCGUUAUCCGGAAUUAUUGGGCGUAAAGAGCUCGUAGGCGGUUUGUCGCGUCUGCCGUGAAAGUCCGGGGGCUCAACUCCGGAUCUGCGGUGGGUACGGGGCAGACUAGAGUGAUGUAGGGGGAGACUGGAAUUCCUGGUGUAGCGGUGAAAUGCGCAGAUAUCAGGAGGAACACCGAUGGCGAAGGCAGGUCUCUGGGCAUUAACUGACGCUGAGGAGCGAAAAGCAUGGGGGAGCGAACAGGAUUAGACUAC
rnacentral:rRNA from 1 species